rnacentral:tRNA from 1 species
GCGGGUGUAGUUUAGUGGUAAAACUACAGCCUUCCAAGCUGUUGUCGCGAGUUCGAUUCUCUUACCCAAG